GGGAAACGGGUUGAGGGGCCAGCCCCAGGCCCCGAUAACGAUUGGGGCA
rfam:TPA: Bos taurus chromosome 26, whole genome shotgun sequence.